CGUCCUUUCCCAUAACCUGCCGGGAGGAUCAUCG
rnacentral:rRNA from 1 species